UUUUUCUUUUUUUUUCUUUUUUUUUUUUUUUUUUAAAGCAAGAGUUAAAAAUAUCCUUGAGGAGAAGUCAACAAUUUCUUUCGUUGGCAAGUCCUCGCUUCCUAAGCUGUUCAUCUCCAUUCUGUUCUGGACAAUCUAUUAAUUUGAAGAGUGGUACAGAGCUGUUGACAUCAUUACUAUAAAACCAGCAGAUUUCUGGCAUUUGAUGGCCACUGGGCCUGUAACACCAUGGACAAGGUUGCCCAAAGGGCCCUGAGUGCUCAGUGGCUGAGAUGUUCCAGCUGCCAGUGGAAAGGAAUUAUCCUUCAGGAUGGAGUAAGCUGCCCAAGCUGGGAAAUGCUGCUCACCAUACUGGGAGCACAACAAGUAAGAAUGGGAUGCCACUGAGGGAGAAGACGGACAGGGAGAAGAUGUGAAACCAUUUCCCAGUGUAGACAGAGGCAGGGGUGACUCCCAUCUCCACCAGCUCACCUUGCUCUCAAGCAGGAGCAAUGAAUGUGUGUGGUGCUACGGUUCCAAAAGCCAUUUAGGAGGAGUUUCCCUUUGUAUCAAUACCAGUGACAGCACAGAGGAAUGAGGAGGCAGCAGAGCACUGCUCCCCCAGGUUGGACCAGAUUUCCAUGUGCAUCGAUUUUCUUUAGCACCUGAACAGAAGAUGAUGUUGCCUCUUCGGUGGGAGGUGAGAAUAAUUAUUAACGUGGAGCAAGUGCAAGGAUGGGUUACAGGCAAAAGCUGUGGGAGAUGUGUGCUUGCUGUGAGAGGCUGGAGGAUUUCUCCAAGAGCAAUGUCUGCUACAUUGGUAGCUAUGCCCCAUCUUUCUUCAUAUCACAUAGAGGUGUAAGAAGAAAAUAGAGGUGCAGUUUUCGCUUUGUUCACUAAAUAUUCAGAGCUCUGGUAGUCAGAGACCCCUAAAAGCAGAGACAGGGUUCCAGAUUUGCGAUCCAGGCCAGGUCUUCUGGUCCUUCUUGGCUGGGGAGUUUGGGAUGAUCAGUCACAGCAAAAAACAACCACGUGCUGCUCCCUCCUGGUGUCGUGUCAAGGCCUCGUGUGUGAGGUGCUGCUCCAGACACACAGGGUGGUGUACAGGUGGGCACUCAAAACGUGUGAAAGAGCCUCAAAAGGUCUCGGUCAGCAGAGCCAGGUUGCAGUCAUCAAGCCCUUGUGUCCUCUGUCUCAGGUGUGUUUAAGGGCAAGGGGGACCUGGGGGUGAUGCACAGGACCAUGGCAGCACAGCCAGAGAAGUGUCUGGGCUCAUGUCUCACUGGGGCAGAAGUUUGGACCCCCAGUAUUGUCUCUUGUGGUGGCCACAUCGCUGAGAGGAGCAGUCCUCCGAGAAGGAUGGGCUCCAGGGCUGCUCCCCUUCUCCACUCUGCCUCUGACCAGCUGCUCUGUCAGCAGGACCAUUUCCCACCCCCACACACAGGUAGCCAUCACUGCUGGGGUAUUUAAUGAUGCUCUCACUCUUUUCAGUCCUGUGGUGGGAGCCCCCACAGCCCUACACAAGGCUGUCAGACUUGUGCUGACUUUCUGAACAGGGAUGUUUUCCUAUUUAUUCUCUAAAGGGUUACAU